AGCUUAGAAAUGGUAUUGGCAACCUUAAAAUGCAAAAUGUGGUAUGUUGGAAGUAUUAAAACCAAUGUACUUAUUGUCCAUGUAAAAGUCAACAUUUUGUUGACUAAUGAAUUGAAUAGUAACACUAAUACUUGAAUUUCAAGAAUUGUGAAACUUAAAAGUGUAAUAUACCCUAGUAUGCCUAGCAAGAUUGGUUUGGAUAGG
rnacentral:misc_RNA from 1 species